GAUGAACGCUGGCGGCGUGCCUAAUACAUGCAAGUCGAGCGAACAGACGAGGAGCAUUCUCCUCUGACGUUAGCGGCGGACGGGUGAGUAACACGUGGAUAACCUACCUAUAAUACUGGGAUAACUUCGGGAAACCGGAGCUAAUACCGGAUAAUAUAUUGAACCGCAUGGUUCAAUAGUGAAAGACGGUUUUGCUGUCACUUAUAGAUGGAUCCGCGCCGCAUUAGCUAGUUGGUAAGGUAACGGCUUACCAAGGCAACGAUGCGUAGCCGACCUGAGAGGGUGAUCGGCCACACAGGAACUGAGACACGGUCCAGACUCCGACGGGAGGCAGAAGUAGGGAAUCUUCCGAAAUGGGCGAAAGCUUGACGGAGCAACGCCGCGUGAGUGAUGAAGGUCUUCGGAUCGUAAAACUCUGUUAUUAGGGAAGAACAAAUGUGUAAGUAACUAUGCACGUCUUGACGGUACCUAAUCAGAAAGCCACGGCUAACUACGU
rnacentral:rRNA from 1 species